rnacentral:rRNA from 1 species
UACGAAGGGGGCUAGCGUUGCUCGGAUUGACUGGGCGUAAAGGGCGCGUAGGCGGUUCGUACAGUCAGACGUGAAAUUCCUGGGCUCAACCUGGGGGCUGCGUUUGGAUACGUGCGGACUUGAGUGCGGAAGAGGGUCGUGGAAUUCCAGUGUAGAGGUGAAAUUCGUAGAUAGUGCGGAGGACACCGAUGGCGAAGGCAAUCCCCUGGACCUGUACUGACGCUCAUGCACGAAAGCGUGGGGAGCAAACAGG